AGGACGAACGCUGGCGGCGUGCUUAACACAUGCAAGUCGAGCGGUAAGGCCUUUCGGGGUACACGAGCGGCGAACGGGUGAGUAACACGUGGGUGAUCUGCCCUGCACUUCGGGAUAAGCCUGGGAAACUGGGUCUAAUACCGGAUAUGACCUCAGGUUGCAUGACUUGGGGUGGAAAGAUUUAUCGGUGCAGGAUGGGCCCGCGGCCUAUCAGCUUGUUGGUGGGGUAAUGGCCUACCAAGGCGACGACGGGUAGCCGACCUGAGAGGGUGACCGGCCGACACUGGGACUGAGACACGGCCCAGACUCCUACGGAGGCAGCAGUGGGGAUAUUGCACAAUGGGCGAAAGGCCUGAUGCAGCGACGCCGCGUGAGGGAUGGACGGCCGUUCGGGUUGUAAACCUCUUUCUAGCGAGGACGAAGCGCAAGUGACGUACCUGCAGAAGAAGCGAACCGCUAACUACGU
rnacentral:rRNA from 1 species